rnacentral:rRNA from 1 species
GAUGAACGCUGGCGGCGUGCCUAAUACAUGCAAGUCGAGCGAACAGACGAGGAGCUUGCUCCUCUGACGUUAGCGGCGGACGGGUGAGUAACACGUGGAUAACCUACCUAUAAGACUGGGAUAACUUCGGGAAACCGGAGCUAAUACCGGAUAAUAUAUUGAACCGCAUGGUUCAAUAGUGAAAGACGGUUUUGCUGUCACUUAUAGAUGGAUCCGCGCCGCAUUAGCUAGUUGGUAAGGUAACGGCUUACCAAGGCAACGAUGCGUAGCCGACCUGAGAGGGUGGCGGCCAAAAUUGGAACGGAACAGGGGCCGAGCCAACGAGGGGGGGAAAAAGAGGGGAUCGUGCAGAAAGGGGGAAAGGCGGAAGGGGGAACGGCGGGGGGAGGAAGGAGGUUUUAAGGAUCGAAAAAUUUUGUUGGGGGGAAAAAAAAAAUGUGAAGGAAAUUAGGACGUCUUGGAGGGUACAUAAAAAAAAAGCCACGGAUAACCCGGUG